GACGUGCUGCUGCAAAAGAACAGAGUGAACACUGCUUUUUAAUUGAUUUCUUCCUUAUAAGUUUUAGUUAACCUGUUACUCCCACUCCCAACCUUAGACUGGGAAAAAGGAUCGUAACAAGUGGGGGCUCAUCUGCUCGUCUCUUAAUUGGCUAUUGGUAACACAACAUGGGAGAACCAAUGGCUUUUGGCAGUAAUGAUGUCAAACCUGGUGCGAUGCUUAAAGCUCAGAGCACAGUGAUGGGGAAGAGAGAGCAGCAGCCAUCCUGCUGAUUCAGGGCACUGGCUGGAACCAUGAGAGGGCUCCUGGUGGACGUGAGCACUGAGGGGAAGUCUUUGAGGUAAGCAAAGGAAACCGACCUCGGCGUCACUCCUGUUGAAAAAGUGGUCUCUAUGAUUUGGAUUUUAAAUACUUCCAACCAGAAAAAUGUACAAAUUAUUGAAAUGGGGGGUAAUUAUCAUACUUACAUAAAAUAGCAGAAUACUACAGUCAGCAGGUUGCAAAUCAAGCCCUGCGGAGUGUGUGUGGUUUUUUUUUUUUUUUAAUAAGGACUGGAUGACUUUACUAUAUCAUGCUUACUACACAGCUACUUAGAUACACAAAUGAAUAAAUAAAUAAAUGGGCAUGACAAACUGAUUAAAGUUUAAAGUACUUUAUCAUGUGAGAAGAAAUACACUGAAGUAAUACAAGAGGCUUAAAACUUACUGUCUUAGAGAAUAGUUUCCAGGGGCAAUCUAAUAAACAGUUUAUUGGUCAUCAUUUUACAUAAAAUAUUUAAAAU